rnacentral:rRNA from 1 species
GAUGAACGCUGGCGGCGUGCUUAACACAUGCAAGUCGAACGAUGAAGCCCAGCUUGCUGGGUGGAUUAGUGGCGAACGGGUGAGUAACACGUGAGUAACCUGCCCUUAACUCUGGGAUAAGCCUGGGAAAUGGGGUUAAUAACGGGAUGGAGGGUCCACCCGAUGGGGGGGGUUUGAAAGGUUUAUCGGUUUAGGAUGGACUCGCGGCCUAUCCACUUGUUGGUGAGGUAAUGGCUCACCAAGGCGACGACGGGUAGCCGGCCUGAGAGGGUGACCGGCCACACUGGGACUGAGACACGGCCCAGACUCCUACGGGAGGCAGCAGUGGGGAAUAUUGCACAAUGGGCGCAAGCCUGAUGCAGCGACGCCGCGUGAGGGAUGACGGCCUUCGGGUUGUAAACCUCUUUCAGUAGGGAAGAAGCGAAAGUGACGGUACCUGCAGAAGAAGCACCGGCUAACUACGU